rnacentral:rRNA from 1 species
AGUAACGCGUGGGUACCGUGCCUCAUACAGGGGGAUAACAGUUAGAAAUGACUGCUAAUACCGCAUAAGCGCACAGUGCUGCAUGGCACAGUGUGAAAAACUCCGGUGGUAUGAGAUGGACCCGCGUCUGAUUAGCUAGUUGGUGGGGUAACGGCCUACCAAGGCGACGAUCAGUAGCCGGCCUGAGAGGGUGAACGGCCACAUUGGGACUGAGACACGGCCCAA